GUCUGAGUACGGGUGCGCAGAGCGUGGCGUCUCGCCGAGGCGCGCGGGUAAUAUCGAACAGCAGACAGACUGUGUUUUAGUGGCCUCAUUGACACUGCUGAGCUUGGUGGUCAGUCAUGGAGGAAGACAGUGGUGAAGUUGUGGCUUCAAACACCAGUGUCCAGACCACCACAGUGUCCAGCAUGUCAACACCCUCUGCCCAGCACACACAACCUGGCCACACUGACCGGCACACUGUCCAGGUGAUCCAGCAGGCCGUACACAGGCCUGCAGGUGUGGCUCAGUACCUGCAACAGAUGUAUGCAGCACAGCAGCAUCACAUAAUGCUGCAGACCCUCCAUCAACACCAUCAGCCCACUUGCCCUGCUGCCCACACCUCAGUGGGGUCUACUCAUCAGUCAAACAGCCAGCAGACCACCUCCUCUCCUUCAUCAGCCAAUGGGAGCAGUGCAGUCCCACUGCCCAGCUCUUCGCUCUCUCAACUCCAGUCCCCCACUGUCUCCGCCUCUACAGGGACGAUAUCCCAGCAGGCCGUUUUGCUGGGGAAUGGCUCGGCUCCUGGCAGUCAGGCUCAGAUGUACCUGCGCACUCAGAUGCUGAUUCUGGCUCCUGCUGCCACAGUAGCUGCUGAUCUGCCUGCUCUAUGCUCUGCCUCCUCUCAGCCCCUCUCCACACAGGUUCCGAGCUUGGCUCUGCGAACACAUCUUCCAGGAGCCCUCAGUGCUGCACAUGGCAUCCAGCUGAAGAGCACUCAGGGUCAGACUCUGGUCACCCCACUCCCAAGAAUGUCUAUAUGUCCCCUGAAAUCCACACAGCUCUCCCAGGCCCUGACUGAGACAUCCAGAACAGGGGCCUCUCCAGCUCUGGUGCGGCACCAGAUGAACUGCCCACCCAGCCCGAAGGGGGCAACUCCUCAGUUCAUCCUGCAGAGUGGCGUGGCUCAGAGGCAGGGGCAGCCGUUUGCUCUGCGGGUCACCUCACAGGACAGCAGUCACCCUCCACUAUCCCUGCUGUCCCAGACCACGCCAACCUCCACCGCUGUCCUAUCACAUCACUGCGAGGUUGUCUCAAGCCACACCCCUUGUGACCACCUGGCCAAUCAGAAGACAGAACAGCAGCAGUCUGUAGUGGCAUCUACUUCAAUGCUUCCGGCUCUACCGGACCCUCCUCCUCUUCAUCUUGCUCCAGUAGUGGACCCCCUGUGCCAUCCUCAGCCCCUGAGCUUCCCCCCACCUCCACCGCCCCUGACCUUGGCACCACCCCGGCUGUCUGCAGCCGCUCCUCCUCCACCCUCCGUACAGAGGCUGUCCCUACGCUCCGUCCAUGCACUGGCCGUGCAGUCUGACCACAUGCUGCUGUCAGAGGAUGAGCUGCCUGUGGCUGAGACUCUAGCUCAGCUGCCCUACCAGAACCUCCCACCUCCACAGACGGCAGCCGUGGACCUAAAGGUGCAGCCCAAUGCACACAUGGAUGCAGCCUUAGCCCAGUCACUGCAGGAGGAUCGUUUGGAUGUCCUGAGACAUGAGGUACAAAAAUGUCCCAACAGGAGCAGGACCCCCAGCCCCCCAGCACUGACCCCAACAGUAGAGAAGCACAACUCCUGCAGAGAUGUAACCCAGCACAACGCACAAACAGGUGCCUCCUUCCUCUUUCAAAUGUGCAGCUCUAAUUAA
ensembl:lncRNA